rnacentral:misc_RNA from 1 species
GUUCUGCGAUUAGUUUAGUAGGUUCGGCUCCUUACAGGUGAGUGUUUAUAUCUCUGUUUCACUAAAAGCUCUCUUUAUUUUACGCAUUCCCUUUACUUUUAUGUUUGUAAUCUUCGCCAAAUUUAUAUGGUGUAAUGAAGGUUAUUCCCGAAGUUUACUUUCUUUGUCAACUGGUCCAUUCUUUUUGUUAAGCUUUGCUACUUCUAAAAUGCGAAAAUCCUCAUCUCAAGUAGCGUAUAAGUAGUUCGAUAAAAUGUAGGUAGUCGUGUCUU